rnacentral:rRNA from 1 species
GUGGGCAAGGAGAAGAUCCACAUCAGUAUUGUGGUCAUUGGCCAUGUUGACUCUGGCAAGUCAACCAUGACUGGCCAUCUCAUCAACAAGCUUGGAGGCAUUGACAAGCGUGUGAUCAAGAGGUUCGAGAAGGAAGUCGCUGAGAUGAACAAGAGGUCAUUCAGGUAGGCCUGAGUGCUCGACAAGCUCAAGGCUGAGCAUGAGAAGGGUAUCACCAUUGAUGUCGCUCUCUGGAAGUUCAAGACCACCAAGUACUUGCUGGUAUUCUAA